rnacentral:lncRNA from 1 species
UGUGGGACCUCGUGUCAUCAUGAAUAAUGAUUUUCGUUGUGUAAUGUAACAUGAGAUGUGCAGUUAGCCAAUCAGAAUAACGAAUUAUUAUUAGUUAUAUAAAGCCAAAAUCAAUCGCUUUCGAUAUAUUACACAGCGUACUGCCCGCUUUACAUUUUAAAUAGUCAACACUUGGAGUGUUUAUAGAAUCGUAAAUAAUUAUGAUUUUUUUUAAUGAUGGCAAAAUUGCACUAUUGGGUGAAAUAGCUUUCCUUAUUAUCG